rnacentral:rRNA from 1 species
UACGUAGGGUGCAAGCGUUAAUCGGAAUUACCGGGCGUAAAGCGUGCGCAGGCGGUUGUGCAAGACAGAUGUGAAAUCCCCGGGCUUAACCUGGGAACUGCAUUUGUGACUGCACGGCUAGAGUACGGCAGAGGGGGAUGGAAUUCCGCGUGUAGCAGUGAAAUGCGUAGAUAUGCGGAGGAACACCAAUGGCGAAGGCAGUCCCCUGGGCCUGUACUGACGCUCAUGCACGAAAGCGUGGGGAGCAAACAGG